rnacentral:rRNA from 1 species
AUACGGAGGGUGCAAGCGUUAUCCGGAAUCAUUGGGUUUAAAGGGUCCGCAGGCGGUCAAUUAAGUCAGAGGUGAAAUCCCAUAGCUUAACUAUGGAACUGCCUUUGAUACUGGUUGACUUGAGUUAUCCGGAAGUAGAUAGAAUGUGUAGUGUAGCGGUGAAAUGCAUAGAGAUUACACAGAAUACCGAUUGCGAAGGCAGUCUACUACGUAUAUACUGACGCUCAUGGACGAAAGCGUGGGGAGCGAACAGGAUUAGAAACCCCAGUAGUCC